UACGUAGGGGGCAAGCGUUAUCCGGAUUUACUGGGCGUAAAGGGAGCGUAGACGGCGAUGCAAGUCUGAAGUGAAAGGCGGGGGCCCAACCCCCGGACUGCUUUGGAAACUGUAUGGCUGGAGUGCAGGAGAGGUAAGUGGAAUUCCAAGUGUAGCGGUGAAAUGCGUAGAUAUUAGGAGGAACACCAGUGGCGAAGGCGGCUUACUGGACUGUAACUGACGUUGAGGCUCGAAAGCGUGGGGAGCAAACAGG
rnacentral:rRNA from 1 species